CAACAAAUAUCCAAGCUUAGGGCCGGACGUGAAGAUAAAUCUCACAGGACGUGAAGAUAAAUCUCACAUAGGCAGAUUGAGUAAGGAACGACAGUGCUCUAGUAUGACACGGUAGAUUGCGCUGUCAAAUACCAACAAGCACAUAAAAUCGAGUGUAGCAGAGAUGAGGAUGUUUGUUUCGACAAAUACGUACAUGGAACAAAAAGGGUAUUUAGAAACUAAUCUAUUUGAGGAAAAGAGGUUACAAAUUUUAUUAAGGACAAGAUAAGGAAAACUUGUUUGAGGUGUUUUAGGACAAGUGGUUUGGGAAACACCGGUGGAGAUGACGUAAGAUUGAGUGCAAUGGUGUAAAAGGAUUUGUAUAGUCAACCUAAGCUUAGUAGAAUAAGUCGAUGUAAUGAAAAAACUUGGCUUGCCAAGUUACACAUGUUAUAGUUUUUUACCUGAGUGAGAUAUUGUAUGUUAUUCUACUUCUCUUGGUGUGAAUGAUUUUUGGACCUGUAAAAACUGAUAUUCUAUAGAAAAUGUUUCCACUUUUGUUCACUCAUGCUUUUAAAUCUGAAAUUUGUUGUUCA
rnacentral:lncRNA from 1 species